AGAGUUUGAUCAUGGCUCAGAAUGAACGCUAGCGGCGUGCUUAACACAUGCAAGUCGUACGAGAACUCUUUAGCUUGCUAAAGAUAGUAAAGUGGCGCACGGGUGAGUAACGCGUGGGUAAUCUACCUCUGAAUUUGGGAUAACUCCGCGAAAGCGGGGCUAAUACCGGAUAAUAUUUCAGGAUUUUCGGGUCUUGAAAUCAAAAGUGGCCUCUACAUGUAAGCUACUGUUUGGAGAUGAGCCCGCGUACCAUAUAGCUUGUUGGUAGGGUAAUGGCCUACCAAGGCUACGAUGGUUAGCUGGUCUGAGAGGAUGAUCAGCCACCCUGGAACUGUAUUC
rnacentral:rRNA from 1 species